UGGGGAAUAUUGCACAAUGGGGGAAACCCUGAUGCAGCAACGCCGCGUGAGUGAUGAAGGCCUUCGGGUUGUAAAGCUCUGUCUUUGGGGACGAUAAUGACGGUACCCAAGGAGGAAGCCACGGCUAACUACGUGCCAGCAGCCGCGGUAAUACGUAGGUGGCAAGCGUUGUCCGGAUUUACUGGGCGUAAAGGGAGCGUAGGUGGAUAUUUAAGUGGGAUGUGAAAUCCCCGGGCUUAACCUGGGGGCUGCAUUCCAAACUGGAUAUCUAGAGUGCAGGAGAGGAGAGUGGAAUUCCUAGUGUAGCGGUGAAAUGCGUAGAGAUUAGGAAGAACACCAGUGGCGAAGGCGACUCUCUGGACUGUAACUGACACUGAGGCUCGAAAGCGUGGGGAGCAAACAGGAUUAGAUACCCUGGUAGUCCACGCCGUAAACGAUGGGUACUAGGUGUGGGAGGUAUCGACUCCUUCCGUGCCGCCGUAAACACAAUAAGUACCCCGCCUGGGGAGUACGGUCGCAAGAUUA
rnacentral:rRNA from 1 species